rnacentral:lncRNA from 1 species
CACAAAGAAAGGCCAAGAAUUCUCCCAAUAAGUUGCGGUGGCAGAAGCGUGCAGGAUCUCUUCGGCCCAGAAGUUCAGGCUGUGGUGUCCUGUGCCAACCAGAUGGAGAAACUGAGGCUGGUGGAUGGAUGGACGGAUGGACAAAUGGACAGAUGCAUGGACAGAUGGGUGGAAGGGUAGAUGGACAGACGGAUGGAUGGAUGGAUGGAUGGACAGUGC